UACGAAGGGGCCUAGCGUUGUUCGGAAUCAUUGGGCGUAAAGGGGGCGUAGGCGGGCCUUUAAGUCAGGGGUGAAAUCCUGGAGCUCAACUCCAGAACUGCCUUUGAUACUGAAGAUCUUGAGUUCGGGAGAGGUGAGUGGAACUGCGAGUGUAGAGGUGAAAUUCGUAGAUAUUCGCAAGAACACCAGUGGCGAAGGCGGCUCACUGGCCCGAUACUGACGCUGAGGCACGAAAGCGUGGGGAGCAAACAGG
rnacentral:rRNA from 1 species